AGGCCUUCGGGUUGUAAAGCACUUUUGUCCGGAAAGAAAUCGCGCUGGUUAAUACCUGGCGUGGAUGACGGUACCGGAAGAAUAAGCACCGGCUAACUACGUGCCAGCAGCCGCGGUAAUACGUAGGGUGCGAGCGUUAAUCGGAAUUACUGGGCGUAAAGCGUGCGCAGGCGGUUUUGUAAGACAGGCGUGAAAUCCCCGGGCUUAACCUGGGAAUUGCGCUUGUGACUGCAAGGCUAGAGUGCGUCAGAGGGGGGUAGAAUUCCACGUGUAGCAGUGAAAUGCGUAGAGAUGUGGAGGAAUACCGAUGGCGAAGGCAGCCCCCUGGGACGUGACUGACGCUCAUGCACGAAAGCGUGGGGAGCAAACAGGAUUAGAUACCCUGGUAGUCCACGCCCUAAACGAUGUCAACUAGUUGUUGGGGAUUCAUUUUCUCAGUAACGUAGCUAACGCGUGAAGUUGACCGCCUGGGGAGUACGGUCGCAAGAUUAAAACUCAA
rnacentral:rRNA from 1 species